AGGAUGAACGCUAGCGGCAGGCUUAAUACAUGCAAGUCGUGGGGCAGCAUGAGUAGCAAUACUUGAUGGCGACCGGCAAACGGGUGAGGAACACGUACACAACCUUCCUUCAAGCGGGGAAUAGCCCAGAGAAAUUUGGAUUAAUACCCCAUAAUAUAUUUGAUAAGGCAUCUUAUUAAUAUUAAAGCUUCGGCACUUGAUGAUGGGUGUGCGGCUGAUUAGAUAGUUGGCGGGGUAACGGCCCACCAAGUCUACGAUCAGUAGCUGAUGUGAGAGCAUGAUCAGCCACACGGGCACUGAGACACGGGCCCGACUCCUACGGGAGGCAGCAGUAAGGAAUAUUGGACAAUGGACGAAAGUCUGAUCCAGCCAUGCCCGCGUGAAGGAUUAAGGUCCUCUGGAUUGUAAACUUCUUUUAUAUGGGACGAAAAAAGGGCAUUCUUGUUCACUUGACGGUACCAUAUGAAUAAGCACCGGCUAACUCCGUG
rnacentral:rRNA from 1 species